CUUUAAAUCCGCAUGUGAUUUAAGGCGGAAGGGAG
rnacentral:ncRNA from 1 species